rnacentral:rRNA from 1 species
UACGAAGGGUGCAAGCGUUACUCGGAACUACUGGGCGUAAAGCGCGUGUAGGCGGCUUUGCAAGUCGGGUGUGAAAUCCCACGGCUCAACCGUGGAAGUGCACUCGAAACUGCAGGGCUAGAGUCCUGGAGAGGAAGGUGGAAUGCUUGGUGUAGAGGUGAAAUUCGUAGAUAUCAAGCGGAACACCGGUGGCGAAGGCGGCCUUCUGGACGAUGACUGACGCUGAGACGCGAAAGCAUGGGGAGCGAACAGG